UGCAAGGUCAGUAUCAAUCCAUGCUAUUUCUCCAACGCUGUAGCUGUGAGUAACUCUUCCAGCACAGAGCAUUUUUCCUGAAGGAGUGGCUUCUGUUUUGAAUUCAGCUGGACACUCUGAUUCAUCCUGCAGUGGGCGUAGGCAGGGAGACUCUGGUAAAGAGAGCCCGUUUUCUACUGCAAUGUCAAGAUGUUGCACUGGGCAUCGAUUUGGUAGGCGCCAGACCUCAACUGGACUUUCUCAAACAUUGUACAAAGUAGCUGUGCUCUCUCCGAAUAUAUCCUUUGGGUCACACCCUCUGUAACAAUGGCUUUAACCAGCUGCAAGAUGGGGUUGUCACCGUCAUUCCUGACAACAUUCUGAAAUCCUGUGCUGUCACAGAAACCACAACAUAAGCACUGACAGAAAGCAUCAAAUGCACAUGUGUUCAGCACAGAGAUUGCUGACUUCCCAACUCUAAUUGGGGGAAGAAUUUGUCCCUUCCAGUUUUCC